UAUUCUGCCCCAUGGGGAAGGAUGAGAAUCUUCGACUAAGGUUCGACUCGAGCGAAGCGAGAGAACGUUGCCGCAGGCAACGGCCCGAAGGGCGAGGCGCUUUAGCGCCGAGUAAUCCUUCCCCCACCACCA
rnacentral:sRNA from 1 species